GUUCUUCUGUGAAGGUAAAGCUAUGGGGUGAUAUGGGGUGAUAUGGGGUGAUAUGGGGUCUCUAUGGGGUGAUAUGGGGUGAUAUGGGGUCUCUAUGGGGUGAUAUGGGGUCUCUAUGGGGUGAUAUGGGGUGAUAUGGGGUCUCUAUGGGGUGAUAUAGGGUGAUAUGGGGUCUCUCUGGGGUGAUAUGGGGGGAUAUGGGGUGAUAUGGGGCGAUAUGGGGUGAUAUGGGGGGAUAUGGGGUCUCUAUGGGGUGAUAUGGGGCGAUAUGGGGUCUCUAUGGGGUGAUAUAGGGUGAUAUGGGGUCUCUAUGGGGUGAUAUGGGGUCUCUAUGGGGUGAUAUAGGGUGAUAUGGGGUCUCUAUGGGGUGAUAUGGGGUCUCUAUGGGGUGAUAUGGGGGGAUAUGGGGUCUCUAUGGGGUGAUAUGGGGCGAUAUGGGGUCUCUAUGGGGUGAUAUAGGGUGAUAUGGGUUCUCUAUGGGGUGAUAUGGGGUGAUAUGGGGUCUCUCUGGGGUGAUAUGGGGGGAUAUGGGGUGAUAUGGGGCGAUAUGGGGUGAUAUGGGGUCACUAUGGGGUCUUUAUGGGGCUCUAUGGGGCACUAUGGGGCUCUAUGGGGUAAUAUGGGGUGAUAUGGGGUCUCUAUGGGGUGAUAUGGGGUCUCUAUGGGGUGCUAUUGGGUCAUUAUGGGGUUCUAUGAGUUCUAUGGGGUCCUCAUUGGGUUCUAUUGCUCGCUAUGGGGCAGGGGUGAAGGUGAUGUUCCGUGUGGGGCUAUGGGGUCCUCAUUGGGUUCUAUGGGGUCUAUGGGGUCCUCAUUGGGUUCUAUGGGGUCUAUGGGAUCCUCAUUGGGUUCUAUGGGGUCCUCAUUGGGUUCUAUGGGUUCUAUGGGGUCCUCAUUGGGUUCUAUGGGUUCUAUGGGGUCCCCAUUGGGUUCUAUGGGGUCUGUGGGGUCCUCAUUGAGUUCUAUGGGAUCCUCAUUGGGUUCUAUGGGGUCCUCAUUGGGUUCUAUGGGGUCUAUGGGGUCCCCAUUGGGUUCUAUGUGGUCCCCAUUGAGUUCUAUGG
rnacentral:lncRNA from 1 species